UAUGCAGUGUUCUUGAAAAGACGAAGGCUGUCCCCGUUGUUUUGUUCAGAGUUGAGUGCUUGGUCAGCACUCAACAAAUAAUAAGUCAUAAUGAUGAGUUCUAAAUCCAAUUUGAAACUGUAUGGGGGAAAUUCAAGUGGUCCCAAGUGCCAGUGUUCUACAAAUUAAUUCCAUCUGUAGAGUGACUGCAAUUCCAGAUUUUUAUGUUCAUGAAAUAAUUCAAAUUAUUCUCUUCUAUUUUUAACUCCUGGAAGGGCUGGAGAGAUUUUCACACUGAAGAUUACAUCCAUGGCUUUCACCAAGCUGAAAAACAAGCUUUAAUGUGAAGAUCCAUACAAGACCAAACUCGAUGAGAAAUGUGGAGUGUUGCUAUGGCAAUUCCAUUUGCUGGAACUUUUCUGUGUUGGCUUCACGUUGACAUUGCAUUCUAAAAAGAACCACAUGAAAAGGUGGAUUGGCUGUGAAGACAAAUGUGAAGCCAAGAAGAUGGAAAUUUCUCAUCUUUCCUUUUCCAGGAGACAGAACAUGUAGUCGUAUUAUAAUGCCACCCCAAGCUAUAAUGAAGGAAAGUGCACGGAGUGCGGUGCUCAACUGAACACCUCCGUAUCAGGAACCCUCAGAUCAAAGAUAGAUUCUCAAUGAAACUCUUAACUAUAUCUUGAUAAUAGGAUGCUGGACUCUCUGCUAUUGUCCAUGCCCACGAUGAUGGAAUUAUGACUGUUUAUAAAGAACUAUACUACUGUAUUAACAUAGGAGAAAUCAGUGGUGAUGGGGAAGGAUUCCUGGGGACGGGGAAGGGAAAU